rnacentral:rRNA from 1 species
UGGGGGAAUUUUGGACAAUGGGCGAAAGCCUGAUCCAGCAAUGCCGCGUGUGUGAAGAAGGCCUUCGGGUUGUAAAGCACUUUUGUCCGGAAAGAAAUCCUUGGCUCUAAUACAGUCGGGGGAUGACGGUACCGGAAGAAUAAGCACCGGCUAACUACGUGCCAGCAGCCGCGGUAAUACGUAGGGUGCAAGCGUUAAUCGGAAUUACUGGGCGUAAAGCGUGCGCAGGCGGUUUGCUAAGACCGAUGUGAAAUCCCCGGGCUCAACCUGGGAACUGCAUUGGUGACUGGCAGGCUAGAGUAUGGCAGAGGGGGGUAGAAUUCCACGUGUAGCAGUGAAAUGCGUAGAGAUGUGGAGGAAUACCGAUGGCGAAGGCAGCCCCCUGGGCCAAUACUGACGCUCAUGCACGAAAGCGUGGGGAGCAAACAGGAUUAGAUACCCUGGUAGUCCACGCCCUAAACGAUGUCAACUAGUUGUGGGGAUUCAUUUCCUAGUACGUAGCUAACGCGUGAAGUCGACCGCCUGGGGAGUACGGCCGCAAGGUUAAAACUCAAAGGAAUUGACGGGGUCAUAGCUGUUUCCU